GGGGGUCAUGCCGCUGCUUCUGGGACCUGCUUGAGAUUUAUACAGAUGGGAAAACGACUGUAAAGAGAGGUGAGGUGACUAGCCUAAGGUCACCCCGGGGUUCAGUAGCAAAGUCAAGAACAGCAGAUGAAGGAAGAACAAUAGCAAGAAAGAAAGAGAAUGGAAUUGAUGUCUCCAUUAGAGAGCACAAGGUGUGUGUCUCCACCACAUCAAGCAGCAGCAACUCUGAGAACAAAAUGGUGGUUGGAGCUGCAAAUUAAAGUUACGGUACACAGAAAAU